AACGAAGGUGAGGAUAGGAAAUAGGAUUAGAUACCCAGAUACCCCUCUCUGUCAACGAUGAAUGGUAGUUUGUUAGUCUAUAUUUAAAGACUAGUGACGAAGUUAACACGUUAACCAUUCCGCCUUGUGAGUACGACUGCAAAGUUGAAAACAAAAAAAUUAGUCGGUCUCGGAGCAAACGAAGUGAAGUAUGUUAUUUAAU
rnacentral:rRNA from 1 species